GUGGAUCCGUGAGAGCAUCAGAGAACCACGGCAUUUUCCUACAUCACUGCUGUGUGCUUUGCACAGAUGCAAAAUGUUAAAAGAGUUCAGAGGCUGCAGGACUUGGCAGGGCUAGGGUAAGUUGGAAAAGCCUUCCUAAGAGCCUAGAUAUUUGGACAGGGCGUGCAAGGUGGGUGUGAUUUAGAUGUGAGAAUGGAGUUUCAUGCAUUCCACCUAAAGGAAUGUAGCAGAAUGGGACGUCCUGUAAGAUACAGGCACAUCGAGAAUUUACACUGGAGGCCAAAUGAAGUAGACAGGGAAACAAGGGGAAGGAAUUCUUGGUGCAAAACCAACUGUGAGGGGCUGAAAUGUGGCCCCCAGAUUCCUAACCCCCAGGACCUCAGAAUGUGACUGCAUGUGAAGAUAGGGUUUCAUCAAACAGGACUGGGGUCCUUACAGGAAGGGGUGAUCACGACACAGACACACACACAGAGGGAUGACCAUGUGAGGUCACAGCAAGAAGACAGCGUCUGCCAGCCAAGGGGAGGCCUUGGGAAUCCAGCCCUGCCCACAUCUCCAUCUGGGACUUCUGGCUUCCAGGACUAUGAGAGAAUAAAUGUUGUUGAAACCACACUAUCUGUGGAAUUUUGUAAUGACAGCCCCAGCAGAGGAACACCAGCCUUGAAAGCUUUGAUCAAAAGCUGUCCAUUAUUUUAUAACAUAGAACUGUGGAAUUCCAAUGUGGAUUUAGGGUUCUGCAUUCUCUGCUGUGCUGUAAGCUCCAAGCAGGAAGGGGCUGUGUGUGCGGGAACUAGCUCAGUGUCUACCUGUGUCCCACUCCGGGCACCGGGCGUCACGUGCACAGAGUUGAGGGUGACACCUAGUAUGUGCGGAGGACCUGCGUUUGGCACAGGAACGGACGAUCAGUUGUGGAUGCUGUAUUACAGGAAGACGCCACUUAGAGCCAUCGCAGUCAAUUUGACCUUUGUGCUGGGAGAGCAUCAGGAAUAGAUGGUUCCAGGCUAAGUAAAAGUUUACCUACAUGCUGCAGAGAUGCCUUGGAUUUCAAGCCAGCACGGGCUGCUGCGGCUGUAUUUCUGGAGUCAGCAGAUAAUGAAUUAUUAGAUCACCAGCUAAUGAGGUAACGCUGUAGCAUACCACAUGCUUUAUGCCAAAAAUAAAAAAUUGAUAUACGGCACCAGACGCACAAAAA
ensembl:lncRNA novel transcript